GGCUCGGUGGUGGGUGGCGCACAUCCGUCUUUCAUGAGUGAGAGCAGGAGAUAGAUUUACAUCGAUGCGGAAGUUGUCUGUUCGAAUCAGACCCGGGCCA